CCUACGGGAGGCAGCAGUGGGGAAUCUUGCGCAAUGGGCGAAAGCCUGACGCAGCAACGCCGCGUGCGGGAUGAAGGCCUUCGGGUUGUAAACCGCUUUUAACAGGAACGAAAAUGACGGUACCUGUAGAAUAAGGUGCGGCCAACUACGUGCCAGCAGCCGCGGUGACACGUAGGCACCAAGCGUUGUCCGGAUUUAUUGGGCGUAAAGAGCUCGUAGGCGGUUCGAUAAGUCGGGUGUGAAAACUCUGGGCUUAACCCAGAGACGCCACUCGAUACUAUUGUGACUAGAGUUCGGUAGGGGAGCGGGGAAUUCCUAGUGUAGCGGUGAAAUGCGCAGAUAUUAGGAGGAACACCGGUGGCGAAGGCGCCGCUCUGGGCCGAAACUGACGCUGAGGAGCGAAAGCGUGGGUAGCAAACAGGAUUAGAUACCCUGGUAGUCCACGCCGUAAACGGUGGGCACUAGGUGUGGGCUCCAACCAACGGAGUCCGCGCCGUCGCUAACGCAUUAAGUGCCCCGCCUGGGGAGUACGGCCGCAAGGUUAAAACUUAAAGGAAUUGACGG
rnacentral:rRNA from 1 species